GAUGAACGCUGGCGGCGUUCCUAAUACAUGCAAGUCGAGCGAACGGACGAGAAGCUUGCUUUUCUGAUGUUAGCGGCGGACGGGUGAGUAACACGUGGAUAACCUACCUAUAAGACUGGGAUAACUUCGGGAAACCGGAGCUAAUACCGGAUAAUAUUUUGAACCGCAUGGUUCAAAAGUGAAAGACGGUCUUGCUGUCACUUAUAGAUGGAUCCGCGCUGCAUUAGCUAGUUGGUAAGGUAACGGCUUACCAAGGCAACGAUGCAUAGCCGACCUGAGAGGGUGAUCGGCCACACUGGAACUGAGACACGGUCCAGACUCCUACGGGAGGCAGCAGUAGGGAAUCUUCCGCAAUGGGCGAAAGCCUGACGGAGCAACGCCGCGUGAGUGAUGAAGGUCUUCGGAUCGUAAAACUCUGUUAUUAGGGAAGAACAUAUGUGUAAGUAACUGUGCACAUCUUGACGGUACCUAAUCAGAAAGCCACGGCUAACUACGUG
rnacentral:rRNA from 1 species